CGGCCGAGCGGAAGGCGCCGGCGUCUAGGCGGCUCAGGUUGUUGUGGCUGAGGUCCAGGAAGGCCAGCCUGGCCGAGCCGCGGAACGCGCCCUCCUCCAGCGCGCGCAGCGAGUUGUUGCCGAGGUCCAGUCUGUGUGCUUUGAUGAAGCACGCUGCCACAUUGAAAAGAACUGCAUGUGAGGAACUGAGAACGACCUCAGAUCAAUACCCAUGAGUAUCUGAAUCCUGACAACAAUCAUGUGAGCAUGAAGUGUAGCCUUCCCAGCCAACAUCUGGACUGCAGUCACGGAGAGCCUCUGAAGUUGAGAACCCAGCAAAGGCAUGCCCAGAUUCCUGAUCUACAGAAACUGUGAGAUUUAAAAAUGAGUUUUGUUCCAAACUGCUAAAAGCUGGGGUCAUUUGUUACACAGCAGUAACUAGCUAAUACACAGUAGUACUUGAAAUAAAAUCCUACCAGACCCUGA